CGCGAAUGGCUCAUUACAACAGCCGUUGUUUCUUGGAUCUCUUCUCUACUUGGAUAACUGUGGUAAUUCUAGAGCUAAUACAUGCAAUCAAGCCCUGAUCGUGAGUGACGGGCGCAUUUAUUAGAACAAGACCAUCUGGCUUUGUGCCGUUUAAUGGUGACUCUGAAUAACUGAGCCGAUCGCGUGGGCUCGUCCCGGCGACGUAUCUUUCAAGUGUCUGCCUUAUCAGGUUUCGUUGGCGGUUUAUGUGACCGCCAAGCCUGUAACGGGUAACGGAGGAUCAGGGUCUGACUCCGGAGAGGGAGCCUGAGAAACGGCUACCACUUCCAAGGAAGGCAGCAGGC
rnacentral:rRNA from 1 species